rnacentral:rRNA from 1 species
GACAGAGGGUGCAAACGUUGCUCGGAAUUACUGGGCGUAAAGGGUUCGUAGGUGGCCAACUAAGUCAGACGUGAAAUCCCUCAGCUUAACUGGGGAACUGCGUCUGAUACUGGAUGGCUUGAGUUUGGGAGAGGGAUGCGGAAUUCCAGGUGUAGCGGUGAAAUGCGUAGAUAUCUGGAGGAACACCGGUGGCGAAGGCGGCAUCCUGGACCAACACUGACACUGAGGAGCGAAAGCCAGGGGAGCAAACAGG